rnacentral:rRNA from 1 species
AUACGGAGGAUCCGAGCGUUAUCCGGAUUUAUUGGGUUUAAAGGGAGCGUAGGUGGAUUGUUAAGUCAGUUGUGAAAGUUUGCGGCUCAACCGUAAAAUUGCAGUUGAAACUGGCAGUCUUGAGUGCAGUAGAGGUGGGCGGAAUUCGUGGUGUAGCGGUUAAAUGCUUAGAUAUCACGAAGAACUCCGAUUGCGAAGGCAGCUCACUAGACUGUUACUGACACUGAUGCUCGAAAGUGUGGGUAUCAAACAGGAUUAGAUACCCUGGUAGUCCACACAGUAAACGAUGAAUACUCGCUGUUUGCGAUAUACAGUAAGCGGCCAAGCGAAAGCAUUAAGUAUUCCACCUGGGGAGUACGCCGGCAACGGUGAAACUCAAAUGAAUUGACGGGG